rnacentral:lncRNA from 10 species
UUUAAGAAUAGAAUUAUGAUUGGUUUAGUGUAGCCCUUCUGGAUGUGUGGACAUCCCAUACAUCAAUGGGAUACCUCAGAAGGUAGGCGGACCAAAUCAUUAUUACAAUAACUUACCCCAAAAUUCUGACUGCCAGAUGAGCUUCCCAGGUACUCAAAUUAUUACUAAUAUGACAUGAGAUGAGAUGCAGUCAGAGGGAAGGUGGAGGAAUAACUAAUGGUUUUGGUAUUUACCUUCUAUGGCAACAGAUUGUGGAGCCAUCCACCUUCCAUUUACUACCCUAGUGAGUGUGCAUAGGAUGAAAAAAAAACAUUAAAAGUCAUGAACAUGCAAUUAAAAUCUGUGAGGAGAACCAGAAGGCCUUGGUGGUGGCUUUGAAAGAGUUCAUCAUCUCUGGCAGUCUCAGGGAAGAUAUGACUGAGGACAAAGUCAAGUCUGAUUGUAAUGAGUGCAGCAUUAUUGCAACAAUUGAAUGCUCAAUCUUGCCAAGUCUUUCUUACUAUUAAAAGAGCAUUAUGAGGAAAGAUUGGGAACCAUAUGCAUUGGUGGGAGACAUUUAAGCAGGUAAGAAUGAGGGAGAGAAAAUUUUUGCUCGUUUUAUGUUGCUUUUUUCUUUUUUACAUUUUAGGCAUCUUUAUUGAGAUAUAACUUAUAUAAAAAUAAACCCCACAUAUUUAAAUUGUACAAUUUGAUCAAUUUUGACACACGUGCACGCACACACACAUCUAUAUACAUACAUAAAGACCAUCACUACAAUAAAGAUAAUUAAAAUAACCACCAUCUGCAAAAGUUUGUAGUCUCUGUCAUUUGCAACUUCCUAUCCUUUCUUAUCUCCAUGCAGACCACUGAUCUACUUCCUAUUACUAUGGAUUAGUUUUUAUUUUCCAGGAUUUUAUAAGAGUUUAUGUUACUUUAAUUUGUCUCACUCCUUACAUUCAACACAAUUGUUUUAUACAUGUUGUUGGAGAUUUAUACAUGUUGUUGAUUGUAACAUUCAUUUUUAUUGCUGAGUAGUAUUCCUUUCUUCAGACAUAACAUAAUUUGUUUAUCCAAUCACUUGCUAAUGGGCAUUUAAGUUGUGUCCAGUUUUUGCCUAGUAAAAAUAAAGCUGUUAUGAGCAUUUAUAUACAAGUCAAUAUGUGGACAUAUGCUUUUACUUCUUUUGGAUAAAUACCUAAGAGUAAAAUAGCAGGGUUAUAUAGGAGAUAUGAACAUUUUCAGUAGUGGUUAUAUCAUUUUACAUUCCCAUCAGCAUUAUUUGAAAGUUCCAGUUGCUCCACAUCCUCAUCAAAACUCGGAAUUAUCAAUCUAUUAAAAUCUACCUAGAAAUGACAUAUAAUAAUCACACAAUUUUAAAUCAAUUAUUGUAUGUGUAUUGCACACAUUCAAGAAGCUAUAGAAAAGAUGCAAUAAGAAAAAUCAUGAAACAUAUAAAAAGAACAAAUCAAAUUUCUAAAGAUAAAAGCAAAAAUGUCUGAGUUGAAAACUAUACUUAAUGAAUUAACAGCAGAUUAGACAUUGCAGAAAAAAAGAUUCAUGAACUGCCUGGCAUGGUGGCUCAUGCCUGUUAUCCUAGCAUUUUGGGAGGCUGAGGUGGGCGAAUCACCUGAGGUCAGAAGUUCGAGACUGGCCUGGCCAUCAUGGUUGAAACCCCAUCUCAACUAAAAAUUCCAAAAUUAGCCGGGUGUGGUGGCAUGUGCCUAUAAUCCUGGCUACUCGGGAGGCUGAGGCAGGAGAAUUGCUUGAAUCCAGGGGGCAGAGGUUACAGUGAGCCAAGAUUGCACCACUUCACUCCAGCCUGGGCAAAAGAGCGAAAUUCCAUCUCAAAAACAAACAAACAAACAAAAACAACAUAAACAACAACAAAAAACCAAGAGUAAUGAAAGUUGGAGACAUUGUAAUAGAAACAGUUCAAAAUUUAGACAGAAAAUUAGACUGAAAGAAAUGAACAGAGCAUCAGAGAGCUGUGGCACAACUUCAAGCAACCAAAUAUACCUGUUUUUGGAGUCUUCAAUGGAGGAAUUAGGGAAGAAAAAAUACUUGAAGAAAUAAUGUCUGGUAAAUUUUCACACUUUAUACAAACUAUAAACCCAUGGAUUCCAGAAGCUCAGAAAACUCUAAACACACACACACAAAAGAAGAAAAUCACAAGAGACAGACUGAAAAAAAGCACAUCAUGUACAGAGGAACACAUAAAGAGGACAACAGACCUUUAUGAGAAGCAAUGCGAACUAGAAGAUAUCCUUAAAGUACUGAAAGGAAAAAUAACUGUCAACCUAGAAUUCCUUAUCUAGUAAAAUAUUUUUCAAACAAAAUGUGAAAUAAAGACUGUUUAAGACAUAGAAAAACUGGAAGAAUUUAUUGCCAGUGUACCUACACUACAAGACAUUUUAAAGGAAAGCCCUUUAGGGAAAAGAACAAUGAUAUCAGAUGGAAAUCUAAACCUGCACAGAAAAUGAAGAGCAAAGAACAUGGCUAAGUUAUUUGAAACUAGUUCAAUUCUUUCAGGUCUUGUUUUAAAGCUUUGUUCUAGAGGUAACCUCACUACUGCUGAGGUAGGACUCUAAAAUGCCUUUUGAAUUAUGAGGUUGCUCCAUUGAUGGGAACAGGUACUAUUCUCAGCCCUAUUGGAGCACCAGGAAUUGUUUUCUCUAAUCCUUUAGAGUGGUUCCUUGUUUAGCCUGAAUAGUUUCCUUACCUGUAUAUGUUGGUCACUACUAAACUGACUUUAGUUCAAUUUAAGUAAGCCUCUGCAGAUUUCUGCAAUUCAUUCUCUAUGUAGCUCUCUUCUCUCUGGUACUCUGCUUUUUGUACUCUAGCUGACUUGUCCUCCUGACCUCUUAAAGUCUGCUUAUCUUUGGGAGGCCACCAAGCUCUUUCUGGGGCCUUCUUCAAUACACUGUAGGCUGGAAACAUUCUCUAGAAAGUAAGAUGGGUAAUCAUAGCACUCAUGUUAUUUGUUUCUCAUCUUCUAGGCAACAAACCCAGUUGUUUCUGAUGUCCAAUAUCUCGACAACCAUUAAUUAGUCAUGGUGUUCAGUUUUUUAGUUGGAAGGUGAAUUCAAUCCCUGUUACUCCAUCUUACCCAGAAGUUAUAACUGAGAAACAUGAACUUCAAAAUUCUUCUGAUCAUCCUUUGCCAGUAGAGAAAUCUCAACUGUUAUUCCAGAACAGUUAAUCCAGUGAUUUUCAAUAGUAGAUACAAAUAUCUGGUGGAUCUUGAUUUCGUUUCCCCUUCUUAGAAUGGAUCUAUUACUCAUACCUUGAUGUAUCAGCUGGUGUUUGCUACACAACAAAACAUCUUAAAAUUUAGUGGCUGUGCCAUCCAUUUAUCAACAUGUACAGAUCAGCAGAUCAAAAAUUUGGGCUAUACUCAGCUCUCCAAUUCUGUCAGUCUAGCUUACUAGUGUGUUUUCAGUCAGAUGUCAGCUUCUUGUUAGACUAGAAGGCUAGUUAGGGCACCUCGAAUCUUCUCCAAAUGACCUCUCCAUCUCUAGGACGCUAGUCUGGGUAUGUUCAUAUGGUGGCAGAAUUCAAGAGCAGCAAGGGAGCAAGCUCUACUGUGAGUGUUUUUCCAAUCUGUCUUUGUGUCAUGGUUUCCAUCUCUUUGGUCAAAACAAGUCACAUCAAUCAUUGUGGAAGGAUAC